AUACGUAGGAGGCGAGCGUUGUUCGGAAUCACUGGGCUUAAAGAGCGUGUAGGCGGAGUGUCAGGUGUCUUGUGAAAUCCCCGGGCUCAACCCGGGAACUGCUGGGCAAACCGGCACUCUUGAGGCAGGUAGAGGUCAUUGGAACGACUGGUGGAGCGGUGAAAUGCGUAGAUAUCAGUUGGAACGCCGGAGGCGAAAGCGAGUGACUGGGCCUGUUCUGACGCUGAGACGCGAAAGCGUGGGUAGCAAACAGGAUUAGAAACCCCGGUAGUCC
rnacentral:rRNA from 1 species